AGCCCAGCUCCCAGCGGCAAGUACACUAGGCUCUUAACUUCGCUUGUCCUCUCUGCAGGCCCUGCCGAAGCUCCCCCUGGUUUCCCGCAGCGAUCCCGCGCAGGGCUGAAGCAGUGCCUACUCAAUAGAACCAGUCAUCGUGCAAAGACAUGCCACCUGACUCAAAGGCAAAGCCAGAGUGCAGCUUGGAGCAAAGAAGUUUGUGUUGAAGGAGAAACUAACAACGAAAAUGGACUUGUUGACGGAAGAAAAGUAGGAAUGCAGCCUCUGGUGCUGUUUGAGUGAUCCCUCUGCCCCAGGCCUGGCUGCGCGCUGCUGUGUUCUGGAAAGGCGCAUUGUGCCCUCGCUGUGGCAGGUAAGAGUCCUGUACAGGUGCUCUGCCCACUUUACCUUUCAGGCUUCUGUAUCAGCUGUUUUUCCCUUGUAGAAUGUGCCCCUGACCUGUGCCCCUGACUUCCACCCCUUAACCCUGCCCAAUACAUCUUUACAUGUCUGACCAUCAAGACUCUUCUGGGUCAUAUUCAGUUCAUGCUGAUAUUUUCC
rnacentral:lncRNA from 1 species